rnacentral:ncRNA from 1 species
AGAGCGCGCUGCAGUGUGCGCGCCGAUUCUGCUUCCGACGCACAUAUGUCCAUGGCACGCAGGAAGCGAAUCCGGAGUGCUUGCCCCCAUUAAGCGCUCCGUAGCCCUGAGCGGACAUCCAUGCGGCUGUGCACCGGCCCCGUGUGGAUGUCCGCUGAUUUUUCU